rnacentral:tRNA from 1 species
GGCUGGAAAGAUGGCUUAGUGGUUAAGAGCACUGACUGCUCUUCCAGAGGUCCUGAGUUCAAUUCCCAGCAACCA